rnacentral:lncRNA from 1 species
AGAUUCUUCAGCCAUUUGCAUUGAUAGCCACUCCCCAGGCUGGAGUGCAGUGGCACAAUCUUGGCUCACAGGAACCUCCGCCUCCCAGGUUCAAGAGAUUCUCAUGCCUCAGCCUCGCGAGUAGCUGGAAUUACAGGUGAGCGCCCAUGCCCAGCUACUUUUUUUUUGUAUUUUUAGUAGAGACAGGGUUUCACCAUGUUGGCCAGGCUGGGCUCCAACUCCUGACCUCAAGUGAUCUGCCAGCCUCGGCUUUCCAAAGUGCUGGGAUUACAGGUGUGAGCCCAUGCACGCAGUGAAUUAGGCAUUUUAGGGAGAAUGGUAGGUCACUAGAAAUUUUGGGUUUCUGCACUAAGUGUUUCUGUUAUAAAAUUGAUAACUCACAAUCCAACUUAGUGGUGAAUAUGAUUUAGAAGAAUGUCUGGUUUUGGCUAAGAGAUGACUUUUCUUUUUUUUCCAGUUUGUAUCUGGCAUUAAUGAGGGAAGGUGCUGAUCAAUUUUUUUAUGUCCCUAAAAGAUGAGUCUUCUAUUCAGCAUUUCCCUAACUCAUACUUGUGCACAUCUCUCAGACCUACCAGAGUGGUGGUUCUCAAAUGUUGUGCACAAGAAUUACCCAAGAUGCUUUUUAAAGAGCAGAUUUCUGGGUUUAAUCCCUAGAAUUUCUGAAUC